UGGACCACGCUGGUUAGUGUUGUUAGCCAUGGCCCACUUGUGGCGGUCCGGUUGCCUAGCAAAAUCAGCGUGUAGAGCGCGACGGAGUGCCAGCAACGAUAAACAGGUUAGUUGAUGGGCAACCUGGACAGUAGGAAAAGAUCGACAGGUCUGGUGGCUGACAACUUACUUCUGUGAUUGACAAUCAUCUGACAGAUUUCGCACCUCGCAGGCUCGUGUAGGCACUCCCCGUAAGAGGAUAGAUAGAGCUAGAGCCAGUAGAGGCUAGCACCAAUAUAGCCCAGUACUAGUAGCAGUAGUAACAGAGCGUUUCCAGGUCCAUCGCAAUGUCAACACACUACUGGCCAUUGACACUCGACGCAGCGCAGGGCCACGGCAAGAGCCACUAUGACACUUUCGCAGUCACCGGUAACCGUAUUCGACCCCUGAUUCUUGCUUUCUGUGAUCAAAGCUACGCACAUGUAAUAAUAAUAUGAUACACACAUGUGAUCUGCUAGGGGAGCGGGUCUUCGCUUCCGAUAUAAAAGCACUGCCCAGUCUCGGCGGGGACCAUAGCCAACCUCAGUGCCGUUCUCAGAUGGAUUUACCACGUCUUCGCGCUCGUGUCUCACAAGUUAGCUGGCUGGAGCCACCGGAAAGUCUGAACGCGUUGCAUUGACUUGGUGUGAGAUGCGCAAGCCUGAGUAACGAAGUAAAUGUUCCUGGCAUGCAACAUCAUUGAUCGCAGCUAUUCCUUUCCCCUUGUCAGACCAAACGUGGACGAAAAUGACACUAAUAUGUCGCUAUUUGCCGCCACUUUCAGCCAAUGUGGUCAGCACUUGGAUACUUGUUAUCACGUGCUCGUGUACCUAUUCAUUCUGGCCUCAGUUAGCACUGGCUCAGGCGGAAUGGCCCGUGCAAGCUUCGAACGGAGUGCAGGGUGGGGCCGGUGCACAAACUGAAGACCACGCGAUCCACGUGCGGCGACAGGGCUCAGACCUCCAUUCCAGAGCAGGAUUGGCACGGACAAGGCCCCGAGUCGUCAUGUUUCCCAACCGCGUCACUCUGAAGUGCCCCGUGCAGCAAGCGGCAUGCGCAAACGAGACCAGCAAGGGGCUAUGCAAUGGCAUUGUGUGGAUGGUGAAGACAAAAGCGUCGAAUGAUGCACCCCAGCCAGUGACGGCAGUAUUUCCGCCCCGCCGAUUAUCAGCCAAGCGCAAACGGCUUGUCAUCAAGCGCUUCCUGGCAAAAUUCAGCGGGCGGUACUGGUGCAAAGUCGGGGAUCAGUUGAUACAAACCUGGGACGUGACCCGGAUGAAGCACAACAACAGCAUUGUUAUUCAACGGGUAGACUACCCCGGGACACCCCCGGUCACUGAACCACCUCCUCGUCCGGUGCCCCUGCGCUUCACCGUCCGGCCCGGAAGUCUGCACCUGGUGCGCCCCGGGGAGCGUGUACUCAUGCGCUGCAGUGCAAGUGGUCACCCACGCCCACACAUCACGUGGCUGCGCGGAUUUCGUGUGAUAAGCAAACGGCAGGGGCGCAUCAGAGUCAACAAGGACAACUGUCUGGAGUUCGCGAGUGUGGAGAGAGACGACGAAGAUACGUAUCGAUGCGUUGUUGAGAACAGAAUGGAACUCCUCUCCAGCACCGCUCAACUCUACGUUGUGUAGCGAUGGCAGACGGAGUCUAACUCCGAUCACAUCAGGGUCACACUGUCCAAGAAACUCAAAGCCUGGCAAAGACACACAGGACAGUGAGUUGCCGAGUGGCCCUCAUGCAAACCCCUGGAGCCAAUAAGCUGAUUCUCCGGGCAUCAGAACACUAUCGCUAUCAACAAGGAUAGAUCACUUGCGCAUCCGUGCCAACAAUUCUGCAGUUAGCCGACCCAAGAUCAUCCUAUAUAAUGACAAUCGGCCAAGUGAGCUUGCCACUGAAACUGCACCGACUGAACACACAUACCACUGACCCUCUCCUCAAAAUCCUGGACAUCUUGUCACUACUUGUCAUAAGCGUGACAAUUGCUAUGGAAACAUGCAGCAUUGAACAUUGAAACAGCUAAACCUGUUUUAAAUACAUGUACGUCACAGUUGAAUGUGUCACAUGACAUGAGAUUUAUGCAUGUUAGCAUGUUUGUCACGAAUUGUUUAAAAAAAGAAAAUUUAGGUAGCAGGA